GGAAUUGGAAUUAUCUGGAGAAUCGGUGGAUCGUUGGAGAAAAAGGAUUUCGAACUUUUUUCAUUUUUUCUUUCAAUACCGAGUUGAAAUCAAAAUCAGGGACGAUUGUCAAGGACGAAGAAAAAUGAGUUCCUGAAAAUUGUGUUUGUUGCCUGCUUCCGAAGAGUUUGGAAGCCCGUCGAAUGAGAGCGAGUAGGACGAGCCGAAGUGUGAGUGGUGCAAGUGGGUCACCGAAUCGUAAAUCCUGUUCUGACGUUGCAGAGGAUCUUCGCCUAUCAACCAGUACGUUUUCAUGUUUCCUUUUCCCUGUUGUAAAAUAUCACUUUUUCAACAACCAAA